rnacentral:rRNA from 1 species
GAUGAACGCUGACGGCGUGCCUAAUACAUGCAAGUCGAGCGAACGGACGAGAAGCUUGCUUCUCUGAUGUUGGCGGCGGACGGGUGAGUAACACGUGGAUAACCUACCUAUAAGACUGGGAUAACUUCGGGAAACCGGAGCUAAUACCGGAUAAUAUUUUGAACCGCAUGGUUCAAAAGUGAAAGACGGUCUUGCUGUCACUUAUAGAUGGAUCCGCGCUGCAUUAGCUAGUUGGUAAGGUAACGGCUUACCAAGGCAACGAUGCAUAGCCGACCUGAGAGGGUGAUCGGCCACACUGGAACUGAGACACGGCCCAGACUCCUACGGGAGGCAGCAGUAGGGAAUCUUCCGCAAUGGGCGAAAGCCUGACGGAGCAACGCCGCGUGAGUGAUGAAGGUCUUCGGAUCGUAAAACUCUGUUAUUAGGGAAGAACAUAUGUGUAAGUAACUGUGCACAUCUUGACGGUACCUAAUCAGAAAGCCACGGCUAACUACGUG